CCCCCCCCACAUCUCCCCCAUCCUCCCCCAUCCUCCCCUCUCCAUUUUGUCUACUCUAAGAGCAGCUCUAUUCUCCUCUCCGUCCGCCACGUGAGGGACUAUUUGUUUGAUUCCAGCUCCCGGUCGGUCCUGGUCAACACAACAUCACAGGAGUGGAACUUGCUUUGACAACGACAUCUGUGGAGCAAGAAAACAGUGACGUUUUCACCAAAACAAGUCUGUAUACUCUGGCUCUACUUCCUGCUUCAGGGUCCCAUGAUUGAACAAAUAAACGGAAAGAAACGGUGGACUUUCAAAUCCAAUUCGCCGCUCUCGAAAGUAUCCGAUCUUGAUUUCCAGUUACUGAGGUAAUUUCCUUUUUAUAGUAUGGACAGGAACUAAAGACCAGCAGCUGCUUCGUUUCUCUGCUUCUUCUGCCGGCAAAAGACUAGAAAGCCUUCAAAUUAGUCCCAGAAAUACUGUAUCUGCCUGGUCUCGAGUCCGGUGGUUUGAAUCAAACUGUGACUUGUGAUGAGCUUGAUUUACGUCACACAUCAUUGACAGAAUCAUAUUAGGAUACUUAAAAAUUGAAGAAAUGUAGUCCAUGAAAAUAGAGUUUGACACACACGUCUUAUAUCACAGGGUGUUAUUUUCGGAAUGCUUACGAGAGAAACAAGAUGAUGUGGAACCGUGGGCCUUGGACUACAAAGUACAUGUUCUUUUUUUGUCAUAUAAAAAAAAAGCAAAUUUGCAGGCAAAUUGUUUACUUGCAGAGGGAAAAUCACAGAACUUUAUACACCUUUGGCUGGAGAUGAUUUUCCACUAACUGACUGGCUUACAAAUUAAAAGUAUACAGUUCACUCAGGAUUUUAAUUUUUUUUUCUUCACGGAUCUCAUGAAAUAAUUUGUGUUAGGAAUGUGUUUUUGGCGCUCCAAUGACUACAUUUCCCCUUGUGAUUGAGUCAAAGUGUGUGUUUGCGGUAAUAAAGGAACGUGUGCAGCAUGU